GUAUCUCGAACUCUCUCUCCCUUUCAUAUUCUUUCUUUUUACCCAUAAUAAUAAAUAAUAAUAGCCAUGUCUCGUUUUAAGUAUUGUAACUCCCGAUCACCGCUACCCUUUCCGAUCGAUUUGAGUCCCAUAACGCAUGUCAAGGCUCUGCCCGACUAAGUUCGUUUGGAUUCUAUCUCGGGACUUCGGGACAAGGUUGAAUUAGGGGUACUAUACUUAACACAAGUGCAUUAUAUUUUUUUUUAGCUUAAAAGUUAUACCCAAAAUUUAUACCAGGAAUCCUUCUAGUUGAACCCUAAAGUUACACAGUGGGUCCAUUCAUUUUUCUCACCAUUUUAUUCUCUUUUUGUAAGUUACCCAAAACUAUUAUUUAUUAUUUAUUAUUUCUAUUUUGUAAACAAACUUUCAUCAAAAGUCAUGCCUAUUAUUUUAUUUACCCAAUAGGGAACCAUAGUUGAGACACCCAAGUAAUCCUGCACAACUCCUAAAAUUUCCAGAACAAUCAGAAUCAGGAUCAGGGCCCCUAAAACUCAGGGGGGGAUAAACCCUAGCCAACGAUUAUCCUCAUAACUCUGUGUAAAAUUCGAAAUUAACGAAACUGUCAACACAGCAAGCCUAGUUACACACGUAGCUACCCUAUGAACAUAGGUUACCACUCGCGUAGCGCGACACCUAUAGGGGGUACCCCUCGCGCUACGCGACGGUGUCAAAUUUCGGGUAUAAAUAGAGGGGGUUGGGACUUGAAUUCUGUCUUUGGAACGACGUAAAUCCGAGUUACGUAAAUCAAGUUAUCACAGAAACAGUCCAACACACACACACUAAUAUCGAAUUGCUGCCGCGGAACAGGGUAAUUACUCGAUCGCUAUUACGAUUCAGUUUCCGGGAUCAAUAUACCCAAAGAAUGUCCAAGUGCCGCCCACAUUGGGCUAUGCUUUUUCGUUUGUCGGUAAUCCGAUAAAUGAGUUGAAGCAUUGUACUUUGUCGUUGUCGAUAAUUCGAUAAUGAGUUGAAGUACUAUACUUUGUCGUUUGUCAUUUUGAUAAAUGAGUUGAAGUAUUGCACUUGGUCAUUCAUUGCGAGUAUUUGAUCUCGGGAAAUUAUCGUAACUGCUGUAUUGAUCAUUAACCCAGUUUUUGUGAAAUUCGUUAAGAUUCGAAUCUCAUGACUACCGUUAAGGUUGAUUUAGGUUUUUCACCAAUACGUAUUCCAUUCUGUUAAACCACCAAAAAUACUCCCACCUACACCCUUACAAUCAAAUAAACUAUUAAAUCAUCAGAAGAUCCAGAAGAAGAUCCAGAAUAAUAAAGUGCAUGCUUAAAUUAUCGGAAGAAAUAGAAUCAAGAAGUUGUUAACUCAAUCCUGCAUGCUGAUUUGUAAUUACAGUAGAUUGAAGUAAGGAUUGGAUCCGGCACUAAAAGACUUCAAGAAGUGGCUUAUUUUAUUAAUUAAAUCAACUUAAGAAAUAUUGUUUUCAUUAAAAGCUACAUUUGUAAAACUUGGAAUUUAUUCCAUCCAUUUAAAUAAAAUCCGGUGUUUCUAAACUCUGAUAUUUUUCCUAACUCACGGUCCUGAUGAAAUUUCCGCUGCAAUGUUUUUCAAAAUAAUCACCGGUACCACUGGACUGCUCACGGCACCGAUUCCGGCUAGAUGGGGUCGGGGUUCGUGACACUAUAGGUUCAUCUCGAGGUCAACCAAGAUAUUAUCUGCAAGGAAUGAGAAAGUUUGUGAGAGAUAAAGGCAUGGUUUCAGGUCAAGCAUUUACACUUAACUUUGUGAAAGGUAAAAAGUUUUUUAUGUUCGGAUGAAUGUUUGUGGUUUGAAGAAGGCAAAUGCAGAAGCAUACAUUGAACCAAAUUUUCGGGUUGUAGUUGUUUGCUUUUUGAAACUGAUACUAGACUUGUUUGUUUAGUUUUGAAGUUGUGAUUCUAAAACUAUAUAUCUACAUGUAAAUUAUUAGCUCCAUGUCUAACGGAAACAAUGUGGAGAUAUGAACUAAAAACAAUAUACUUUGUUUUACUUUUGGUCAACAUCUGAUUGACUUUUAGUCGUAUUAAUAACAGUAUAAGAUGGUUGAUGUAAUGUGGUCGUAUUAAUAACAAAUAGUAAUUAAUCUAAAUAACUUUCCCGAGCCCGGGAAGCAAUCCUUUCAUCUUAUGCAACCAACCAUGGAGUAACAGGCUGAGGGGGAGUUUAGUCUGUAAGCAUGCUUGUAAUCUUUUGCUUUAAUUUGUAAUCUUUCAACUUAAUGAAAAGCAAAUGUUU
rnacentral:lncRNA from 1 species